UACAGAGGGUGCGAGCGUUUAAUCGGAAUUACUGGGCGUAAAGCGUGCGUAGACGGCUAUCUAAGUCGGGUGUGAAAGCCCCGGGCUCAACCUGGGAAUUGCAUUCGAGACUGAAUAGCUAGGGUACGGUAGAGGGAAGUGGAAUUUCCGGUGUAGCGGUGAAAUGCGUAGAUAUCGGAAGGAACAUCAGUGGCGAAAGCGACUUCCUGGACCAGUACCGACGUUCAGGCACGAAAGCGUGGGGAGCAAACAGG
rnacentral:rRNA from 1 species